UAUGACCAUAUCACAUCAAAACACUGGUUCUCAUAUGUUCACUGAAAUUAAGCAACAUCAAGCCUGAUCAGUACCUAGAUGGGUGACUGCUUAGGAAUACCAAGUGCUGUCAG